rnacentral:rRNA from 1 species
GUGUCAGCAGCCGCGGUAAUACGGAGGAUCCAAGCGUUAUCCGGAAUCAUUGGGUUUAAAGGGUCCGUAGGCGGUUUUAUAAGUCAGUGGUGAAAUCUGGUCGCUCAACGAUCAAACGGCCAUUGAUACUGUAGAACUUGAAUUACUUGGAAGUAACUAGAAUAUGUAGUGUAGCGGUGAAAUGCUUAGAGAUUACAUGGAAUACCAAUUGCGAAGGCAGGUUACUACGAGUUAAUUGACGCUGAUGGACGAAAGCGUGGGGAGCGAACAGGAUUAGAAACCCCCGUAGUCC